GGUUCGGUCCAAAAAUACGCGCUCCAGGGCAUAGGACAGAACCAUUCUCUUUUCCCAUCUGCGAGAAUCCGAGACGAAGGAAGAUGACGACAAUUCGCAGAUUCUGCUGCAACGACCUCCUCUCCUUCGCAUCUGUAAAUCUCGACCAUCUCACUGAAACUUUCAAUAUGUCUUUCUACAUGACCUACUUGGCUAGAUGGCCUGAUUAUUUUCACGUUGCCGAGGGUCCCGGAAAUCGAAUUAUGGGCUACAUUAUGGGGAAAGUUGAAGGGCAAGGUGAAUCUUGGCAUGGUCAUGUAACUGCAGUAACUGUCGCUCCAGAGUAUCGUAGGCAGCAAUUAGCCAAAAAACUGAUGAACCUGCUAGAAGAUAUCAGUGACAAGAUAGAUAAGGCUUAUUUUGUGGACCUUUUUGUUAGAGCAUCAAAUACACCAGCAAUAAAGAUGUAUGAAAAGCUUGGGUAUGUAAUCUAUAGAAGGGUUCUGCGUUAUUACUCUGGGGAGGAAGAUGGAUUAGAUAUGAGGAAAGCACUAUCUCGGGACGUCCAAAAGAAGUCUAUCAUCCCCCUCAAGAGGCCAAUUACUCCAGAUGAAUUGGAGUACGACUAAACCUGCUUUCUUCAGAACUUCUGCCUAACUGAAUUUGAUGGAAAUGCAUCAUCAUGUUGUUGUCUUUUGAGAUGCUGAAGUUAGGCAUAGACUGGUUUUAGAAUUUCAGGCAUGUUGAAUAUGAGAGAUGAACAUCUAGGACUACUAAUGACAACUUAGCGGAAUACUUCUGCAUUACAACCGGAACAAAAUGGGCCUGAGGGAAAGGGCCUACCCACCCCAACCAAAAUGGUGGGCCCCAAUGUUAUCUGCGUGUCGGCUUCUGCAACAAAGGCGGAUGAAGGAUGAGGGGCAACACGUGAGCUCGGCCCAGUCGACGGUUUCGACCAAACAUCCAGACCUAAAAGGAGUGAUGGAGAUUGGGGCAGCAAGACCAGAAUCGGCUCGGGUCCAAACAGAGACACCCAUUUGCUUUUGUGCUCAUUCCUCAUUUCUAGGGCUUUUUUAUUCUUUUUCUUUUUCUUUUUUCCCCUUUUCUUUUCCAUUUGAGCUUGAAUCUCUUUCUACUUUCUGCUUUCUGCUUUCUCUUAUCUGUCAUUCCCAUCAAAACAAAUUGGUUUCCACUC